CAGCCGCCACGGUAAUACGAAGGGUGCAAGCGUUAAUCGGAAUUACUGGGCGUAAAGCGUGCGUAGGCGGUUUGUUAAGUCUGCUGUGAAAUCCCCGGGCUCAACCUGGGAACUGCAUUUGUGACUGUAUAGCUAGAGUACGGCAGAGGGGGAUGGAAUUCCGCGUGUAGCAGUGAAAUGCGUAGAUAUGCGGAGGAACACCGAUGGCGAAGGCAAUCCCCUGGGCCUGUACUGACGCUCAUGCACGAAAGCGUGGGGAGCAAACAGGAUUAGAUACCCCUGUAGUCCCUGUCUCUUAUAC
rnacentral:rRNA from 1 species